rnacentral:ncRNA from 2 species
GAAAAGCAUGACGGGUGUCCGCCUUGCGUGCCCUUAGUUGCUCGUUCAUCGAGCAUCUUCUGGCAUGCAAGGCGGUUCUGAGAAUAUACCGUACAAACUUGAUCUGGAUAAUACCAGCGAAAGGACAUGCUUGCUCUGUUAG